CACGUAGGGUGCGAGCGUUGUCCGGAAUUAUUGGGCGUAAAGAGCUUGUAGGCGGUUUGUCGCGUCUGCUGUGAAAUUUCGGGGCUCAACCCCGAACUUGCAGUGGGUACGGGCAGACUAGAGUGUGGUAGGGGAGACUGGAAUUCCUGGUGUAGCGGUGAAAUGCGCAGAUAUCAGGAGGAACACCGAUGGCGAAGGCAGGUCUCUGGGCCGAUACUGACGCUGAGGAGCGAAAGCGUGGGGAGCGAACAGG
rnacentral:rRNA from 1 species